rnacentral:rRNA from 1 species
UACGGGGGGGGCAAGCGUUGUUCGGAAUUACUGGGCGUAAAGGGCUCGUAGGCGGCCAACUAAGUCAGACGUGAAAUCCCUCGGCUUAACCGGGGAACUGCAUCUGAUACUGGAUGGCUUGAGUUCGGGAGAGGGAUGCGGAAUUCCAGGUGUAGCGGUGAAAUGCGUAGAUAUCCGGAGGAACACCAGCGGCGAAGGCGGCUUUCUGGUCCGAUACUGACGCUGAGGUGCGAAAGCGUGGGGAGCGAUCCGG